rnacentral:rRNA from 1 species
CCUACGGGAGGCAGCAGGGGGGAAUAUUGGGCAAUGGAGGAAACUCUGACCCAGCGACGCCGCGUGAGGGAUGAAGGCCUUCGGGUUGUAAACCUCUUUCAGUAGGGAAGAAGCGAAAGUGACGGUACCUACAGAAGAAGCACCGGCUAACUAUGUGCCAGCAGCCGCGGUAAUACAUAGGGUGCAAGCGUUGUCCGGAAUUAUUGGGCGUAAAGAGCUCGUAGGUGGUUCGAUACGUCGGAUGUGAAAAUCAGGGGCUCAACCCCUGACCUGCAUCCGAUACGGUCGAGCUAGAGUUUGGUAGGGGGGACUGGAAUUCCUGGUGUAGCGGUGGAAUGCGCAGAUAUCAGGAGGAACACCGAUGGCGAAGGCAGGUCUCUGGGCCAAUACUGACACUGAGGAGCGAAAGCGUGGGGAGCGAACAGGAUUAGAUACCCUGGUAGUCCACGCCGUAAACGGUGGGCGCUAGUUGUGCGAACCUUCCACGGUUUGUGCGACGCAGCUAACGCAUUAAGCGCCCCGCCUGGGGAGUCGAUCGCAAGNUAAACUAAUGAAUUGACG